AGCGAACGCUGGCGGCGUACUUAACACAUGCAAGUCGAACGAGGAGCGUCGGUGUAGCAAUACAUCGGUGCUUCUAGUGGCGCACGGGUGAGUAACACGUGGGCAACCUGCCCUUGAGUCCGGGAUACCCUCUCGAAAGGGAGGCUAAUACCAGAUACGUUCCUCGGAUCGCGAGAUCUGGGGAGGAAAGGUGGCGAGAGCUACCGCUCUUGGAGGGGCUCGCGGCCUAUCAGCUAGUUGGUGAGGUAACGGCUCACCAAGGCUAUGACGGGUAGCUGGUCUGAGAGGACGACCAGCCACCCGGGAACUGAGACACGGGCCCGACUCCUACGGGAGGCAGCAGUGGGGAAUAUUGCACAAUGGGCGAAAGCCUGAUGCAGCAACGCCGCGUGAGUGAUGAAGGCCUUUGGGUCGUAAAGCUCUGUCCUAAGGGAAGAAACAAAUGACGGUACCUUAGGAGGAAGCCCCGGCUAACUACGUGCCAGCAGCCGCGGUAAUAC
rnacentral:rRNA from 1 species